UAUGGGCCAGAAACCGUAAAAUACAAUGUAAGGAAUACGACAAUGUGGCAACGCUGUAGAGGUCCAUCCAUCCCUCCCCCACCGUCGCCCUUCCCAUUCCUUCCCACGCUCCAGCUCUUGAGGUCACCUCUGCGGCAGGAUGCGUGCUAAGUGGAGAAAGAAGCGUAUGCGAAGGCUUAAGCGUAAGCGCAGGAAGAUGAGGGCAAGGUCGAAGUAGGCUGUGUGCCCCAUCCUCCCCAACACCCCUUCGGACUGUGUGAGGCUGACCACAGCCCUGGUCUGCCUUCCAGUCAUCUGCUGCUGCCACCACACUCAGUAAUGUGAUUUGAUAAUAAAUUUGAUGAAGGGG